GACGAACGCUGGCGGCGUGCUUAACACAUGCAAGUCGAACGGAAAGGCCCUGCCUUUGUGGGGUGCUCGAGUGGCGAACGGGUGAGUAACACGUGAGUAACCUGCCCUUGACCUUGGGAUAACCUCAUGAAACUGGGGCUCAUACCGGAAAGGAGCUCCCGCUGCAUGGUGGGGGUUGGAAAGUUUCGGUGGUUGGGGAUGGACUCGCGGCUUAUGAGCUUGUUGGUGGGGUAGUGGCUUACCAAGGCCUUGAGGCGUAGCCGGCCUGAGCGGGUGACCGGCCACUGUGUGACAGAGAUUCGGCCCUGACUACUAGGGGAGGCGGCAGGGGGGAGUGCUGUACAGUUUGCGGACGCAAGACGGAGCAACGCGGCGUGCGGGAUGACGUCAUUCGGGUUGUCGUCCGCUUUCGGCUGUGUCGAAGAGUGAGUGACGGUAACGGGUAAAGAAGCCCCGGCUAACUACGUG
rnacentral:rRNA from 1 species